UACGGGGGGGGCAAGCGUUGUUCGGAAUUACUGGGCGUAAAGGGCUCGUAGGUGGCCAACUAAGUCGGACGUGAAAUCCCUCAGCUUAACUGGGGAACUGCGUCCGAUACUGGAUGGCUCGAGUUUGGGAGAGGGAUGCGGAAUUCCAGGUGUAGCGGUGAAAUGCGUAGAUAUCUGGAGGAACACCGGUGGCGAAGGCGGCCUGCUGGGACGUGGCUGACGCUGAGGCGCGACAGCGUGGGGGGCAAACAGG
rnacentral:rRNA from 1 species